rnacentral:rRNA from 2 species
AAAUUGAAGAGUUUGAUCAUGGCUCAGAUUGAACGCUGGCGGCAGGCCUAACACAUGCAAGUCGAACGGUAACAGGAAGCAGCUUGCUGCUUCGCUGACGAGUGGCGGACGGGUGAGUAAUGUCUGGGAAACUGCCUGAUGGAGGGGGAUAACUACUGGAAACGGUGGCUAAUACCGCAUAACGUCGCAAGACCAAAGAGGGGGACCUUCGGGCCUCUUGCCAUCAGAUGUGCCCAGAUGGGAUUAGCUUGUUGGUGAGGUAACGGCUCACCAAGGCGACGAUCCCUAGCUGGUCUGAGAGGAUGACCAGCCACACUGGAACUGAGACACGGUCCAGACUCCUACGGGAGGCAGCAGUGGGGAAUAUUGCACAAUGGGCGCAAGCCUGAUGCAGCCAUGCCGCGUGUAUGAAGAAGGCCUUCGGGUUGUAAAGUACUUUCAGCGGGGAGGAAGGUGUUGUGGUUAAUAACCGCAGCAAUUGACGUUACCCGCAGAAGAAGCACCGGCUAACUCCGUGCCAGCAGCCGCGGUAAUACGGAGGGUGCAAGCGUUAAUCGGAAUUACUGGGCGUAAAGCGCACGCAGGCGGUCUGUCAAGUCGGAUGUGAAAUCCCCGGGCUCAACCUGGGAACUGCAUUCGAAACUGGCAGGCUUGAGUC